GGUUAAGCGACUAAGCGUACACGGUGGAUGCCCUGGCAGUCAGAGGCGAUGAAGGACGUGCUAAUCUGCGAAAAGCGUCGGUAAGGUGAUAUGAACCGUUAUAGCCGGCGAUGUCCGAAUGGGGAAACCCAGUGUGAUUCGUCACACUAUCGUUAACUGAAUACAUAGGUUAACGAGGCGAACCGGGGGAACUGAAACAUCUAAGUACCCCGAGGAAAAGAAAUCAACCGAGAUUCCCCCAGUAGCGGCGAGCGAACGGGGAGCAGCCCAGAGUCUGAAUCAGCUUGUGUGUUAGUGGAACGGUCUGGAAAGUCCGACGGUACAGGGUGAUAGUCCCGUACACCAAAAUGCACAGGCUGUGAACUCGAAGAGUAGGGCGGGACACGUGGUAUCCUGUCUGAAUAUGGGGGGACCAUCCUCCAAGGCUAAAUACUCCUGACUGACCGAUAGUGAACCAGUACCGUGAGGGAAAGGCGAAAAGAACCCCGGCGAGGGGAGUGAAAAAGAACCUGAAACCGUGUACGUACAAGCAGUGGGAGCACCUUCGGGUGUGACUGCGUACCUUUUGUAUAAUGGGUCAGCGACUUAUAUUCUGUAGCAAGGUUAACCGUAUAGGGGAGCCGCAGGGAAACCGAGUCUUAACUGGGCGUUAAGUUGCAGGGUAUAGACCCGAAACCCGGUGAUCUAGCCAUGGGCAGGUUGAAGGUUGGGUAACACUAACUGGAGGACCGAACCGACUAAUGUUGAAAAAUUAGCGGAUGACUUGUGGCUGGGGGUGAAAGGCCAAUCAAACCGGGAGAUAGCUGGUUCUCCCCGAAAGCUAUUUAGGUAGCGCCUCGUGAAUUCAUCUUCGGGGGUAGAGCACUGUUUCGGCUAGGGGGUCAUCCCGACUUACCAACCCGAUGCAAACUACGAAUACCGAAGAAUGUUAUCACGGGAGACACACGGCGGGUGCUAACGUCCGUCGUGAAGAGGGAAACAACCCAGACCGCCAGCUAAGGUCCCAAAGUCAUGGUUAAGUGGGAAACGAUGUGGGAAGGCACAGACAGCCAGGAUGUUGGCUUAGAAGCAGCCAUCAUUUAAAGAAAGCGUAAUAGCUCACUGGUCGAGUCGGCCUGCGCGGAAGAUGUAACGGGGCUAAACCAUGCACCGAAGCUGCGGCAGCGACACUAUGUGUUGUUGGGUAGGGGAGCGUUCUGUAAGCCUGCGAAGGUGUGCUGUGAGGCAUGCUGGAGGUAUCAGAAGUGCGAAUGCUGACAUAAGUAACGAUAAAGCGGGUGAAAAGCCCGCUCGCCGGAAGACCAAGGGUUCCUGUCCAACGUUAAUCGGGGCAGGGUGAGUCGACCCCUAAGGCGAGGCCGAAAGGCGUAGUCGAUGGGAAACAGGUUAAUAUUCCUGUACUUGGUGUUACUGCGAAGGGGGGACGGAGAAGGCUAUGUUAGCCGGGCGACGGUUGUCCCGGUUUAAGCAUGUAGGCUGGUUGUCCAGGCAAAUCCGGAUAAUCAAGGCUGAGGUGUGAUGACGAGGUACUACGGUGCUGAAGUAACAAAUGCCCUGCUUCCAGGAAAAGCCUCUAAGCAUCAGGUAACAUCAAAUCGUACCCCAAACCGACACAGGUGGUCAGGUAGAGAAUACCAAGGCGCUUGAGAGAACUCGGGUGAAGGAACUAGGCAAAAUGGUGCCGUAACUUCGGGAGAAGGCACGCUGGUGUGUAGGUGAAGUCCCUGCGGAUGGAGCUGAGACCAGUCGAAGAUACCAGCUGGCUGCAACUGUUUAUUAAAAACACAGCACUGUGCAAACACGAAAGUGGACGUAUACGGUGUGACGCCUGCCCGGUGCCGGAAGGUUAAUUGAUGGGGUUAUCCGUAAGGAGAAGCUCUUGAUCGAAGCCCCGGUAAACGGCGGCCGUAACUAUAACGGUCCUAAGGUAGCGAAAUUCCUUGUCGGGUAAGUUCCGACCUGCACGAAUGGCGUAAUGAUGGCCAGGCUGUCUCCACCCGAGACUCAGUGAAAUUGAACUCGCUGUGAAGAUGCAGUGUACCCGCGGCAAGACGGAAAGACCCCGUGAACCUUUACUAUAGCUUGACACUGAACAUUGAGCCUUGAUGUGUAGGAUAGGUGGGAGGCUUUGAAGCGUGGACGCCAGUCUGCGUGGAGCCAACCUUGAAAUACCACCCUUUAAUGUUUGAUGUUCUAACGUUGGCCCCUUACCGGGGUUGCGGACAGUGUCUGGUGGGUAGUUUGACUGGGGCGGUCUCCUCCCAAAGCGUAACGGAGGAGCACGAAGGUUAGCUAAUCCUGGUCGGACAUCAGGAGGUUAGUGCAAUGGCAUAAGCUAGCUUGACUGCGAGCGUGACGGCGCGAGCAGGUGCGAAAGCAGGUCAUAGUGAUCCGGUGGUUCUGAAUGGAAGGGCCAUCGCUCAACGGAUAAAAGGUACUCCGGGGAUAACAGGCUGAUACCGCCCAAGAGUUCAUAUCGACGGCGGUGUUUGGCACCUCGAUGUCGGCUCAUCACAUCCUGGGGCUGAAGUAGGUCCCAAGGGUAUGGCUGUUCGCCAUUUAAAGUGGUACGCGAGCUGGGUUUAGAACGUCGUGAGACAGUUCGGUCCCUAUCUGCCGUGGGCGCUGGAGAAUUGAGGGGGGCUGCUCCUAGUACGAGAGGACCGGAGUGGACGCAUCACUGGUGUUCGGGUUGUCAUGCCAAUGGCACUGCCCGGUAGCUAAAUGCGGAAGAGAUAAGUGCUGAAAGCAUCUAAGCACGAAACUUGCCCCGAGAUGAGUUCUCCCUGAGACUUUAAGUCUCCUGAAGGAACGUUAAAGACGAUGACGUUGAUAGGCCGGGUGUGUAAGCGCAGCGAUGCGUUGAGCUAACCGGUACUAAUGAACCGUGAGGCUUAACCUU
rnacentral:rRNA from 1 species